GUACCUGCAUAAGAAGCGCCAGCUAACUACGUGCCAGCAGCCGCGGUAAUACGUAGGGCGCAAGCGUUGUCCGGAAUUAUUGGGCGUAAAGAGCUCGUAGGCGGCUGGUCGCGUCUGAUGUGAAAUCCCGAGGCUCAACCCCGGGCCUGCAUUGGAUACGGGCCAGCUAGAGUGCGGUAGGGGAG
rnacentral:rRNA from 1 species